GGCAGACCUUAAACGGUUUUGGCACACAAAAGUAAUCUGAGAAUCCGUCGGGUUGCCAAGCGUCUGAGAGAACUGCACCCACACAGCCAUAUAUGGUCAGAAGAAACGAUUUCGAACAUAGUGCUGCAUUUCUUUCAGGACACUCCAAGAGGAUUUCAUUUUACGUGCUCUCUCUCUCUUUCCAAAUGGUUCGAUGUUGUAUUUCGAGGGGUUGAUACACAGAAGAUGUCAGACAAGCAAGAUGUAAUACAUCCUAUAGGUAAAGAAGAAAUAUAGAAAUCAUGGUGUUUGUUUGUGUUUGUGUUUCUUUUCCUAAGUAUUAAAGGGACUCCGGGUGAACUCGUCACAGUUGCUGGACAGUUACAGUAUGCCAUGCAUUAAAUAUUAGUGUCUUGAUCAAAAGCGGCUGAACAAAAACGUGGAGGAGCUCGUUUUUCCAGAUAGGGUCCUAUUUCACUAUUGCUGCGUAAUUGGCCUAGGUUAAAAAGGAGCGUCGAACCAUCUAGUCACGAGGCUGAAAGCUGUUUACUAGCCAUUCAGUGUUAUUCACAUCCUCUAAAAACAACAUCGGUUCUGGCAUGCCAAAUACCAGCAAUUGAUGAUGGGCCCUGUUUGUAGAUAAUAGAGUCAUUCGUUGCGCAUAAUAGAAAGGAGCCGUGCAGGCCAUUCCAUCAAUUCUGUGCUCAUUCUUACAGGCCGUGUUCUUUCUAGUAUUUCAAGCAGCAAGAGUGGAAAUUAUAAUGUAAGAAGUGUUACCCAAAGGUCUCUAUUCUAUGACCGGCAAAGCAUUAUACCGUGUCACAUAGUAUUUUUAUAUGGCUAAGCCGACCAGCUGUUUUUGCGCUAUUCUAGAAUUACGCAAGCAGAGAAGGCACACAAAAGCACAACCAGGAAAAAAGCGAAAGGGCCUCUUGUGCAGAAGACCAACGACUGCAGCACAGCCGUAUGUUUUUCACUCACAUUUAGGAAGACGUAGCAUGACCGCCCUCCUUCAUAUACUCCCUUUUGGUGACACUCCAUAUGGCAAUAAACUGUUGAGAAGAACCUUACAUUAAUACAUUAUUCACAUAUAGAAACCGACGAAUACCAAUACCGCAAAUGUAUUCGAUUAAAUCUAAAUAGCCUAUCAUUGUUGUCAUUUAGACACAUUUUUCAUCCUACAAGCGCCAAUAUCUUUUUGCUCGUAAAAUAAAUACCUGACCUCAGAUUUGUAGAACAUUUCAAACACGAACACGUUUUACAUUAUUUUAUUAGUCCUCAUGUAGUCUAUUUAAUCUGACGUUUUAAGCAUCAAUUUGUUUAUACCAAAUUACUGUGUUUGUAAUGAGGCCAGUAAAUGAAAGGGUGCCACAGAUGAAAUUUCAGAAAAUUCUGCCCUAGAACAGGGCAGUUAAACCUAAUUGGUCCUCUGCGG
ensembl:lncRNA